UAGAGUGAUAUAAAAGGAUCACAUCAUUAAUGAGAAUAAACUAUAUGUAGAAGUAGAGAAUUCCCAUGACUAAAGUGAGUCAGAGUGUUAACAGGAAUAAAAGGGAGUGUGUGUUUUCAAGUAAUGGAAAAUGUGAAGCAUUUGCCUGCAGAAAGAAUGUUUUUAUUUUCAGAUUCACAGAUUUGCAUACAACAGUCAGAAGUGGAGCGGAGCAGAACAGUCUGUGGAUACUUAAUCACAGACUAUGAACAGAGGUCAUGUUGUGAGCUAAUGCUGGGCAUCAGGAUUCCCCUCACUGCACAUCAAGUUCAGUAUCAUUUGCUUGUCAUGAGGUGUUGGUAGCUAUUCUGCACUGUUCUGUCCUUUCCUAAAAUUGGAUCCUUUCACUGGCUACAAUGGGAUAACUUGCAAAGAUUGGACAAUUGCUUCUUUUCAAGUGAGGCAGAAUGGUCUAGUGGACUGUACCCAGGGCUGGAGGCAAGAACUGCUGAGGUCUAAUCCUGCAACUGACACUGUGUGACUUUGAGUUUGCCAAUAUCCUUCUGGAAUUGUGGACGCCAGAACUGGACACAGUAUUCGAGCAGUGAUCACACCAGUGCCAAAUACAGAGCAUGGCAAGCUGUGAGUGCAGAGCUCAUCAGCAG